rnacentral:rRNA from 1 species
UACGUAGGGGGCAAGCGUUGUCCGGAUUUAUUGGGCGUAAAGAGCGUGUAGGCGGCCAUGUAGGUCCGUUGUGAAAACUCGAGGCUCAACUUCGAGCUGUCGGCGGAAACUAUCUGGCUAGAGUCCGGAAGAGGAGAGUGGAAUUCCUGGUGUAGCGGUGAAAUGCGCAGAUAUCAGGAGGAACACCGGUGGCGAAGGCGCCACUCUGGGCCGAAACUGACGCUGAGGAGCGAAAGCGUGGGUAGCAAACAGG